rnacentral:RNase_P_RNA from 1 species
ACCGCAGACCGCCUUAUCGCUUUAUGUUGAACUUGUUUCAACAUCUAUCUAUAGAUUCUGAAUCAAGUUCAGAAUAAAGAGGAAAGUCCGGACACCACAGAGUAGCAUAACGGGUAACGCCCGUCUCUCGUCUUUCGGGACGAGAAGGACCAGUGCAACAGAAAGUAUGUACAGUUCGGCUGUAGUGAAACCAGGUAAACUCUAUGCGGUGAAAUGCCAUGUAAAUCAACGUUCUGCUCCGGCAGAUAAGGGCUACUCGUCCGAUGUUGAAGGGUAGGCAGCUCGAUUCAAUGGGUAACUAUUGAACUAGAUAAAUGAUGAGGUGAUGCUGAAAUUAAUUCAGUAUUAACAGAAUCCGGCUUAUAGGUCUGCUUUUUUU